rnacentral:lncRNA from 1 species
GGAGCUCCACCUUGGAAGGUCCAUCUCUAAUGGCAAAAGACUUUUUAACAGGGGUUCCCGAGGACGUAAAGAGUCCAAUUGUUGUUGAAAUCGCAUGGAAAGUUCAGCAAGUGUAGUAUCAUUGGGAUGCUUUGAAUUGCACUCUUUGUCUGUUAGAAGCUGAACUGGGCAUCCAGGAGUGACAAAGAACAGAAAUAUGGUCCCUGUGCUUUGGAACAACUUUGUAGCCACCUGUCACUUUUGGGGAAUCAUCCUCUUCUGAGAAGAUAUGUUUU